rnacentral:rRNA from 1 species
UACGUAGGGUGCGAGCGUUUAAUCGGAAUUACUGGGCGUAAAGCGUGCGCAGGCGGUUGUGCAAGACAGGUGUGAAAUCCCCGGGCUUAACCUGGGAACUGCACUUGUGACUGCACGGCUAGAGUACGGUAGAGGGGGAUGGAAUUCCGCGUGUAGCAGUGAAAUGCGUAGAUAUGCGGAGGAACACCGAUGGCGAAGGCAAUCCCCUGGACCUGUACUGACGCUCAUGCACGAAAGCGUGGGGAGCAAACAGG